CUCUGGAAAGGGAAACGGGCGGCUGCGGCCACUAGAAACCCGCUGGUCCUCACAGGUCUUGGCAGCCCAAGUGCACGGCUCUGACAGCGAUGAGAAGUACAGGAUCCCCUGACACCGUCUAGGGACAUCGGGCUGAACCAGGGGUGCAGAGUGCUGGAGGAGGGGCCUUUGGACAUCACCAACUAAAGGCUUGAUUCGGAGUGUGGCCAGGCACCACGGCCAGCCCAGCAGGACACAGGAUGCUGGAGCAGAAGAAGGCAGCGGGCCUGCCAAUCAUGGUGCCCUGCUUCAGAGUGAGGCAGUUGGGAGGGCCUUCCGGAAGACAUGGAGGAAAGUCAGGGCAGCCGACGAAGCUGGAAGCCCAGACGUGGAGUCGGCUGCCCUGGGUUCCACUCACAGUGCCACAUACCAGCUGUGUGGCUCCAAGCAAGUUCAGCUCUGAUCUGGGGACAACUGCCCUCUGUGGGAGAGCUGGUCCGAGGAUUAUAAAUGCGUGCGUAAGGGGAAGGCAAAAAGCAAGGUGGCAACUCUCAGGACUACCGAUGGGAACCUGUCUGCUUCUGGGACUGGGCGAGGAAGGACAGAGUGACCUGAUCAAGGUUGCAGGCUAAUAUGGUUUGGCUGUGUCCCCACCCAAAUCUCAUCUUGAAUUGUAGCUCCCACAAUCCCCACAUGUCA